GCAGACUCACUCUGUACCUAACUGCAGCCUCCAGUUUUGGUGCUUUUUAAGUCUGCAAAAUAAACUGCAAGAUCAACAUCAAAGCUUUCUUAGUUUUUAAGAAAUGCUACUUGUAGAUCAUGGGAUAGUUAU
ensembl:snoRNA